CACAGGCAAAUUCAUGCGUUCCUUUAUCAUUUUCCAGUUUUCGUCACCAGCUUUGAAUAGGGCUGUGGUGAUAAAAAAUGGAAAAUUAUAAAGGAACGCUUGAAUUUUUCUCUGAUCCUUUAUUUGUUUCUCUCAGUAUAUUUUAAUGUUGAUUACUGUGUGAGUUUAUUUCACCGUCACGAUCAGUUAUGUCCCACUAUAUUCAGCUGAAGUUACACAAUCAAUCAAUCAAUCAAUCAAUCAACGUUAUUGCCUGAAGUUUACAAAUAUAUGCAAAACAUUAUGGGGGUGUUUUUUCAGAAAUAUAUCACAUUUGGGACUAUUACUUGAAACAAAUCCAGCAAUUAUCCAGCAAAUAUUGACUGACAUAGAUAUGGUAAUUGCUUUACAUUUUCCUGAUACUAUUCUGAACCAGAAACAACAUGCGCAGUUUGGUUUUAUCAACAAGAGGUGAUCUACCUGUUUCACCAUACAGCAUAUAUG